rnacentral:rRNA from 1 species
UGCAGUCGAGCGAACAGAUGAGAAGCUUGCUUCUCUGAUGUUAGCGGCGGACGGGUGAGUAACACGUGGGUAACCUACCUAUAAGACUGGGAUAACUCCGGGAAACCGGGGCUAAUACCGGAUAAUAUUUUGAACCGCAUGGUUCGAUAGUGAAAGACGGUUUCGGCUGUCACUUAUAGAUGGACCCGCGCCGUAUUAGCUAGUUGGUAAGGUAACGGCUUACCAAGGCGACGAUACGUAGCCGACCUGAGAGGGUGAUCGGCCACACUGGAACUGAGACACGGUCCAGACUCCUACGGGAGGCAGCAGUAGGGAAUCUUCCGCAAUGGGCGAAAGCCUGACGGAGCAACGCCGCGUGAGUGAUGAAGGUCUUCGGAUCGUAAAACUCUGUUGUUAGGGAAGAACAAAUUUGUUAGUAACUGAACAAGUCUUGACGGUACCUAACCAGAAAGCCACGGCUAACUACGUGCCAGCAGCCGCGGUAAUACGUAGGUGGCAAGCGUUAUCCGGAAUUAUUGGGCGUAAAGCGCGCGUAGGCGGUUUCUUAAGUCUGAUGUGAAAGCCCACGGCUCAACCGUGGAGGGUCAUUGGAAACUGGGAAACUUGAGUGCAGAAGAGGAGAGUGGAAUUCCAUGUGUAGCGGUGAAAUGCGCAGAGAUAUGGAGGAACACCAGUGGCGAAGGCGGCUCUCUGGUCUGUAACUGACGCUGAUGUGCGAAAGCGUGUGGAUCAAACAGGAUUAGAUACCCUGG